rnacentral:misc_RNA from 1 species
AAAGUGCGAUAAGCAAUGCGAAUUGCAGAAUUCCGCGAAUCAUCAGAUCCUUGAACGCAACUGGCGCUAGGAUGCUCUCCUCCUAGCAUGUCUGUUUCAGUGUCUGCAAACAUCAUACCUACUAAUCUUAAUGUGGUUGACCAAGGAGAGGUGAUAUCAUAUUGGUCCUUCUCUACUCGGAGUCUUCCAUUAAAGAUGUUGUGUGUUGUUGGGUCUUUAGGGACUCCUCAUCGGUUUUCUUGGUCACUGUCCUUCAGUGAUUUAAUCGGUGAAGUGAGCUUAAUUACCCUGAAUGAAUUAAAAGACACACAAGAACCUUCUGGUAGUAGUUGUCAAAAAAACUAAAACUACCUAGUCUUCCAACUCUGCAUCUGAAAUCAGGCAAGAUCACCCGCUGAAC